CUACGGGUCGCACCAGUGGGGAAUAUUGGACAAUGGGGGAAACCCUGAUCCAGCAAUGCCGCGUGUGUGAAGAAGGCCUGCGGGUUGUAAAGCACUUUCGGUUGGGAGGACUGCUUCUAGCACUAAUAUUGUUGGAAGUUGACGUUACCUUCAGAAGAAGCACCGGCUAACUCCGUGCCAGCAGCCGCGGCAAUACGGAGGGUGCAAGCGUUAAUCGGAAUUACUGGGCGUAGAGCGCGCGUAGGCGGCUAGAUCAGUCGGGUGUGAAAGCCCCGGGCUUAACCUGGGAACUGCAUCCGAUACUGUGUAGCUUGAAUACAGGAGAGGAGAGUGGAAUUCCACAUGUAGCGGUGAAAUGCGUAGAUAUGUGGAGGAACACCAAUGGCGAAGGCAGCUCUCUGGCCUGAUACUGACGCUGAGGUGCGAAAGCGUGGGGAGCAAACAGGAUUAGAUACCCCCGUAGUC
rnacentral:rRNA from 1 species